rnacentral:rRNA from 1 species
UACGGAAGGGAGCUAGCGUUGUUCGGAAUUACUGGGCGUAAAGCGCACGUAGGCGGCUUUGUAAGUUAGAGGUGAAAGCCCGGGGCUCAACCCCGGAAUUGCCUUUAAGACUGCAUCGCUUGAAUCCGGGAGAGGUGAGUGGAAUUCCGAGUGUAGAGGUGAAAUUCGUAGAUAUUCGGAAGAACACCAGUGGCGAAGGCGGCUCACUGGACGGUAUUGACGCUGAGGUGCGAAAGCGUGGGGAGCAAACAGG